rnacentral:misc_RNA from 1 species
UUAUGCAAUGGCAUUGUACAUUUUUAUAAUUUCUGUAUCCAAAACAAAAAAGAAAAGAAAAGAAACAUUUUUGUGAAUUUUGUCAAUCUAUAAAUUAUCGUCCCCACACAAAAAUGGGAUCUCAUAAAUUUUCCUUUUCCAAAACUAUAAACUACAUUGCAACUAAUUUAAGAAAGAUCCAUUAGCCUGUGAUGCUGUCUAGAUUAGGGAUGAAAUGCCGCCUUUCAGUUUUUUAAUCACCAUCUCUACAAAGCAUGCAGCCUCAAACCUAUAAUAAUAGCUGCAUAUCACCAUAAAAUUAGAGGCAGCACCAAAGUUGAAUGAAAAAUACUUGAAAAUUCUGAUUUCAAGGAAUUGGCUUCACUGGACUGGAAGCUCCAUUUUGAGCUUGUUCUGAAGGUGAAGUCCU